UUGUUCAAACUUAAACAGCACAUAUACUAAAAACUGGAACAAUACAAAGAAGAUUAGCAUGGUCCCUGUGAAGGAUGACAUGAAAAUUCAUGAAGCAUUUCAUAUAUUU
ensembl:snRNA U6 U6 spliceosomal RNA